UCAGGUUGCUGUGUUUGCUGGUGGUGUUGAUACCUCUGCAACUGAGACCAAAGGAACUGUCCUAAUUCAUACUGCUGAUCAGCUAGAAAAUUAUGCAAAGACUGAAGAAGCUAAAGUUGAGGAGCUCAUCAAAGCAGUUGCUGAUUCAGGUGCGAAAGUAAUUGUGAGUGGAGCAGCAGUUGGAGAGAUGGCACUGCAUUUCUGUGAGCGUUACAAGCUUAUGGUGCUGAAAAUCAGUUCAAAAUUUGAAUUGAGACGAUUUUGCCGUACAACGGGUGCUGUUGCUAUGUUGAAGCUUUGCCAGCCUAACCCAGAUGAUCUGGGAUAUGUUGACUCUGUCUCGGUUGAGGAAAUUGCUGGUGUUAG